rnacentral:rRNA from 1 species
UACGGGGGGGGCAAGCGUUGUUCGGAAUUACUGGGCGUAAAGGGUUCGUAGGUGGCCAACUAAGUCAUACGUGAAAUCCCUCGGCUUAACCGGGGAACUGCGUCUGAUACUGGAUGGCUUGAAUCCGGGAGAGGGAUGCGGAAUUCCAGGUGUAGCGGUGAAAUGCGUAGAUAUCUGGAGGAACACCGGUGGCGAAGGCGGCAUCCUGGACCGGCAUUGACGCUGAGGAGCGAAAGCCAGGGGAGCAAACGGG